UGGAAGAGGCUCCACCUUAUCAUCCAGUGAAGAGCCAUCAAACAGUGUUCAUGUCAACAUCCACAGGUUCCCGUCAUCUCCUUCACCUGCUCCAGUUGCUCCGGACUUCACUCCUUCUUCAUACAGGAACUCAAACAAAGAGGAUGAUGUCAACACUUUUCAUGAAGCCGAGGCUACCUACUCAACAGUGACCAUCAAACCCAGAAACCCCGGUCCUCCACGUCAUAGGAAAAACAGCAAUGCACCACAGGACUCCAGGUCUGCAGCAGGAGAGAACGACAACUCUGUAAUCUAUUCUACCAUCAAUAAAUCCAGUUGAGUC